AACUGGGGAUAAUACCCCAUAGAUCAGGGACGCUGGAAUGCCCCCUGAUUCAAAGGUCCGCCGCCUGAGGAUGGGUCUGCGGCCGAUUAGGUUGUUGUUGGGGUAACGGCCCAACAAGCCAUUGAUCGGUACGGGUUGUGAGAGCAAGAGCCCGGAGAUGGAUUCUGAGACACGAAUCCAGGCCCUACGGGGCGCAGCAGGCGCGAAAACUUUACAAUGCGAGAAAUCGUGAUAAGGGAACCCCGAGUGCCCGUAAAUUCGGGCUGUC
rnacentral:rRNA from 1 species